rnacentral:pre_miRNA from 1 species
UUUGUACUCCCUCCUUCCCAAAAUUCUUGUCUUAAAUUUGUCUAAAUACGGAUGUAUCUAGUUACAUUUUAGUGUUAGAUACAUCUGUAUCUAAACAAAUGUAAGACAAGAAUUUUGGGACGGAGGGAAUACUAC